UGGUCUAGAACGGUUGAGACCGUCAAUUUAACAAGAAAUACAAAUUCUCACGCCUCUUCCUUUAUCACCAAUAAAAAUAAUUUAAAUCAGAACCGGAUGUCUACAUUCCAGAAAUUUUCUCUUGCAAAUAUGAACGAUCUAACCACCAAACCGCAUAACUUUAUCGUUCCAUUGUGCAUUCAACUUUACAGUUUACUCGGCCAUCGAGUGACUUAUAGUUUUUACAUUUAAACUAAAUCACCCGUAGCAGUCGCUCGAACUAGUCAUUUGUAUAAAUUCCAUUUGUUUUCAUUUCCAUAAGUCAAUUUGUAAUAUGAAGAAGAAAAUUCUGAGGAAACUGUUUAAAAAGCGAAAUUCUUCGAGUGUGCCUGAUGGAGAUGCUACAGCGCAAGGAGUGGAAAAAGUAGCAAAAAAAUGUGUGAAAUGCAAAUGCAUUAAAGAACAAUGUAAAUGCAUACACAAAGGGCAAGUCAAAAUGCUGCCAGCGAAUGCAUUUAGCACUAGUGUUUUGGAAUAAAUUCGAUAAUAAAGUGUUUUUUAGGUGAAA